UGGGGAAUUUUGGACAAUGGGCGAAAGCCUGAUCCAGCAAUGCCGCGUGUGUGAAGAAGGCCUUCGGGUUGUAAAGCACUUUUGUCCGGAAAGAAAUCCUUGGCUCUAAUACAGUCGGGGGAUGACGGUACCGGAAGAAUAAGCACCGGCUAACUACGUGCCAGCAGCCGCGGUAAUACGUAGGGUGCAAGCGUUAAUCGGAAUUACUGGGCGUAAAGCGUGCGCAGGCGGUUUGCUAAGACCGAUGUGAAAUCCCCGGGCUCAACCUGGGAACUGCAUUGGUGACUGGCAGGCUAGAGUAUGGCAGAGGGGGGUAGAAUUCCACGUGUAGCAGUGAAAUGCGUAGAGAUGUGGAGGAAUACCGAUGGCGAAGGCAGCCCCCUGGGCCAAUACUGACGCUCAUGCACGAAAGCGUGGGGAGCAAAACAGGAUUAGAUACCCUGGUAGUCCACGCCCUAAAACGAUGUCAACUAGUUGUUGGGGAUUCAUUCCUUAGUAACGCAGCUAACGCGUGAAGUUGACCGCCUGGGGAGUACGGUCGCAAGAUUAAAACUCAAAGGAAUUGACGGGGUCAUAGCUGUUUCC
rnacentral:rRNA from 1 species